GGGCCUACGGGGCGCAGCAGUGAGGGAUAUUGGUCAAUGGGGGAAACCCUGAACCAGCGACGCCGCGUGAGGGAAGACGGUUUUCGGAUUGUAAACCUCUGUCCUCUGUGAAGAUAAUGACGGUAGCAGAGGAGGAAGCUCCGGCUAACUACGUGCCAGCAGCCGCGGUAAUACGUAGGGAGCAAGCGUUGUCCGGAUUUACUGGGUGUAAAGGGUGCGUAGGCGGGCUUGCAAGUCAGAAGUGAAAUCUAUGGGCUUAACCCAUAAACUGCUUUUGAAAAUGUAAGUCUUGAGUGAAGUAGGGG
rnacentral:rRNA from 1 species